CUCCAAUGCUUCAAGGUUGAAGGAAAAGUUACAAGAGAAUUAUGAGGUCAGGGAGACUACAAACAGAAAACCCAGAAUUAUGAUCACUAGAGCUCCACUAGACAUCACUGCUGAGGCCUUACGGAGUAAUAUCAGAAUUUUCAAUGAUCAUAUAGAAGCAGAGCUGUUUUUGGCAAACAAUUUUAAACCAGCUUUUCAGGUUGGUAAGAGAGCAGACCGGAACCUAUGCUCCUGGGUGGUUGAGGAAGAUCCGAGAACAAGGGAAGCAAUUGCAGAGAAUAAUGACUUUUUGAGUAUUGGAUGGUCGUCUCACAAGGUGCUGGAUUUUUAUAGCUUCCGUAGAUGCUACAAGUGUUGGGCCUAUGG
rnacentral:lncRNA from 1 species